rnacentral:tRNA from 1 species
AAGGAUUUAAGUUAAUCAAACUCUUAGCCUUCAAAGCUAAAAAUAGGGGGGGCCCUCCUAAGCCUUA